rnacentral:rRNA from 1 species
GACGAACGCUGGCGGCGUGCUUAACACAUGCAAGUCGAACGGAAAGGUCCUGCUCUUGCGGGGUGCUCGAGUGGCGAACGGGUGAGUAACACGUGAGUAACCUGCCCUUGACUUUGGGAUAACUCCAGGAAACUGCGGCUCAUACCCGAUAGGAGCUCCUGCUGCACGGUGGGGGUUGGAAAGAUUCGGCGGUUGUGGCUGGACUGGCGGGUUAUCCGCUUGUUGGUGUGGUAGUGGCUUACCAAGGCUUUGACGGGUAGCCGGCCUGAGAGGGUGGCCGGGCACCAUGGGACUGAGGUAGGGCGCAGAAUGCAACCGGAGGCAGUGGGCGGGAAUAUUGCACAGUGGGCGGAAGCGUGAUACAGCGAUGCCGGGAGCGGGAUAACGGGUUACGGGUGGUAAACAGAUGUGGCAUGAAACAUGGAGUUAGUGACGGUAAUGGGUAAGAAAGCAACGGCUAACUACGUG